UACGAAGGGGGCUAGCGUUGUUCGGAAUUACUGGGCGUAAAGCGCGCGCAGGCGGUUUCUCAAGUCAGUGGUGAAAGCCCGGAGCUCAACUCCGGAACUGCCAUUGAAACUGUGAGACUUGAGGACGAGAGAGGUGAGUAGAAUUCCCAGUGUAGAGGUGAAAUUCGUAGAUAUUGGGAAGAACACCGGUGGCGAAGGCGGCUCACUGGACCAUAACUGACGCUGAUGCACGAAAGCUGGGGGAGCAAACAGG
rnacentral:rRNA from 1 species